CGUAACGAUUUGGGCACUGUCUCAACGAGAGACUCGGUGAAAUCAUAGUACCUGUGAAGAUGCAGGUUACCCGCGACAGGACGGAAAGACCCCGUGGAGCUUUACUGUAGCCUGAUAUUGAAAUUUGGCACAGCUUGUACAGGAUAGGUAGGAGCCUUUGAAACGUGAGCGCUAGCUUACGUGGAGGCGCUGGUGGGAUACUACCCUGGCUGUGUUGACUUUCUAACCCGCACCAUUUGAUCAUGGUGGGAGACAGUGUCAGGCGGGCAGUUUGACUGGGGCGGUCGCCUCCUAAAGAGUAACGGAGGCGCUCAAAGGUUCCCUCAGAAUGGUUGGAAAUCAUUCGCAGAGUGUAAAGGCACAAGGGAGCUUGACUGCGAGACCUACAAGUCGAGCAG
rnacentral:rRNA from 1 species